rnacentral:rRNA from 1 species
CGGGUGAGUAAUGCGUGACCAACCUGCCCCAUGCUCCAGAAUAGCUCUUGGAAACGGGUGGUAAUGCUGGAUGCUCCAACUUGACGCAUGUCUUGUUGGGAAAGUGUUUAGUGGCAUGGGAUGGGGUCGCGUCCUAUCAGCUUGUAGGCGGGGUAAUGGCCCACCUAGGCUUCGACGGGUAGCCGGCCUGAGAGGGCAGACGGCCACAUUGGGACUGAGAUACGGCCCAGACUCCUACGGGAGGCAGCAGUG